UAAAAAAACAAAAAUAAAGAUUACUAUGCACCAUCACUGUGAUAACCAAUUUACAGGAUGCAAAGGUAUUGAAUAAUCCUGCAAUAUGGCUAAUCGAACAAAAGCUUGCGUCUAACUGACUUGGAGUAGUUUCGGAUGGGUUCUUUAUCUCUUUCUCUAGAAGUAUCCGCACUAAUCUUUGGACAGCCAGUUUCACUCUCCUCUGGCUUCUCAUGACAAGGGACUUUGGAUGAUCGAUAGAAGUUGGUGAUGCUGAGUUGAACACCUUUCGGUGAUUCUGAAUUCUCAGACUUCAUUGGCCUUUUUCUACGUGAUCUUGAUUCUUUUAGUUCCUUGUCUCUCAAGAACAGGGACACCUUUUCUGGAAAAGCAUUCUGUACAAGCACCAUAUCUUCUUCAGUUGACAAAAAGUUGCAUCCCUCCUUGACAUGAAUCUGCGGAGAAUCAGGUUCAUUAAGUAAAUCUGUGGACUCAUCAGCUAUCCCCAGCUCCAGUUCCGUAUCAGAGUCUUCAGAAGGUAUGCAGGUUACAUUGCUCAUUUCACGUGUUGGUUUCUUCCAAUUGAUCACGUAAAGUUGAUGUCCAAAUCUUGUCUUCACCCGCUGAAUGGAGUCAAAUUCAUAUUGUCCGCCUAACAAUUGAUCUUUGGAAUUUGAGGCCACGUCUCUCAGAAAUAUGGUGGAUAACAUAGGAAACAUUCUUUGACGUGUAUAAGAUGGCUCCCAGUGCUGAUAAUAAGCCAGAUAAUCAACUAUCAUAUCAAUCUUUGGAUUUUCCCAUGAUAAAUGAUAAUCACCAUCAUAUUGCUGUUGUUUGUUCAAGUACAUUUCUGUGAUCUCAUUGUUUCGGAAAUUCUGCUCUGAGGCUAUCUUUCUGCAAACUUUAAGCUUCCAAUUCUUGUUUCUUUUCUG
rnacentral:misc_RNA from 1 species